AUGAAUUUAUGGGGGGGUUGAUGCUGGCAGUCUAACUGCAUGUGCUCGCUUUCUUAAUCCUAUUUACACCCGUGCACUUAAUUUUUUGAAGGGAGGGUAAAGCCUGCCUUUGAAAUUCACAAACUCUUGUUUAAAAUAAUAAUGGAUGUUUAUCUGCCGCAAGGCAAAAUUUAAUA
rnacentral:misc_RNA from 1 species